GACGAACGCUGGCGGCAUGCCUAACACAUGCAAGUCGAACGAGACCUUCGGGUCUGGUGGCGCACGGGUGCGUAACGCGUGGGAACCUUCCUUGAGGUUCGGAAUAACUCAGAGAAAUUUGAGCUAAUACCGGAUGAUGUCUUCGGACCAAAGAGUUAUCGCCGUUAGAUGGGCCCGCGUUGGAUUAGCUAGUUGGUGGGGUAAAGGCCUACCAAGGCGACGAUCCAUAGCUGGUCUGAGAGGAUGACCAGCCACACUGGGACUGAGACACGGCCCAGACUCCUACGGGAGGCAGCAGUGGGGAAUAUUGGACAAUGGAGGAAACUCUGAUCCAGCGAUGCCGCGUGAGUGAUGAAGUACUUCGGGUUGUAAAGCUCUUUCACCCGAGAUGAUAAUGACGGUACCGGGAGAAGAAGCGCCGGCUAACUACGUG
rnacentral:rRNA from 1 species